ensembl:misc_RNA Y_RNA Y RNA
GGUUGGUCUGAUGGUAGUGGGUUAUCAGAACUUACUAACAUUAAUGUCACUUAAGUUGGUAUACAACCCCCCACUGCUAAAUUUUACUAGCUUUAA